rnacentral:rRNA from 1 species
AUUGAACGCUGGCGGCAUGCCUUACACAUGCAAGUCGAACGGUAACGGGCCUUCGGGUGCCGACGAGUGGCGAACGGGUGAGUAAUACAUCGGAACGUGCCCGAUCGUGGGGGAUAACGAGGCGAAAGCUUUGCUAAUACCGCAUACGAUCUACGGAUGAAAGCAGGGGACCGCAAGGCCUUGCGCGGACGGAGCGGCCGAUGGCAGAUUAGGUAGUUGGUGGGAUAAAAGCUUACCAAGCCGACGAUCUGUAGCUGGUCUGAGAGGAUGAUCAGCCACACUGGGACUGAGACACGGCCCAGACUCCUACGGGAGGCAGCAGUGGGGAAUUUUGGACAAUGGGCGCAAGCCUGAUCCAGCCAUGCCGCGUGCAGGAUGAAGGCCUUCGGGUUGUAAACUGCUUUUGUACGGAACGAAAAGCCUUCUUUUAAUACAGGAGGGUCAUGACGGUACCGUAAGAAUAAGCACCGGCUAACUAC